rnacentral:misc_RNA from 1 species
UACCAGUGCGGAUCGUGAUUCUGCGGGACGCGCAGCGUCGCGGCGCCCUCCGUGUCUCGUAUCCUUGCCGAUCGCGCGCCCGUCCGUCCGUCCAUCAGCGAUUCGACCGAACGGCGCGAACGGCCGGUCAGGCUCCAGUGCGCCGAAAUUUGCGGGGGGUGGGAACGACAUCGAGAUAUUCGGGGAGGUUCACAGGGAUGGGACAGAAUAAUUUGCCAAAAAUAUCGGAGACACAUGACGCCAUGAUAAGACGUUUCUUAUUACUGUGACGACCGGACACCGAUCGUGUUCACCGAGCCUGAAUAGUCGACUGCCCGGAACUUUAUCCCGUUUUUCUCUCUUUGGUUUCUCAAUGUUGUUGUCAGUUAUACUCGUAUUUUGACGUGCAAGACGCUGUUUCGAUGGCCGGACAGCGGCUGGCAAUACAGGUACAAAAACGAGGCGGAAAUUGACACGCUGAAAGUACGUUUGUUCGCGUUCGCGAACCGAGUCGGUCUCGGUCAACUCUAGUCUCGAUCUCAAUCGAUGCAGAUCGACAAGUUCGCUUAAAUAGUCCCAUUACUUAAUCGACGUUUGUAUUUCAAUAGCAUUCCCGUGCAUUCCUGUGCUCUCCCCCCGCUUUCAUUAAGGAGUUCGCGCCGAGCGUAAUUGCUCAGAUCCCAUUUGGAGCAAAAGAGCGCGGAGUGUCACUUAAAACUUAGUUGGAUUACCGUUCUUGUUGCAUACUGUGCAUCGCUGCUUGAACACGUUUUGCUUCGCGUAAGAAUCGACUAUCCAUUGAGGCUAUUCUUCUCUCUCUCUUUCUCUCUCACCUUCUAUCUUUCUCUGCACUUUGUCGAUUAUGACUUAAGGCGUACACACUUCUUUGAGUUUUGCCGAUGGUUAAUUCUCUCCUCCGACGGCGCAAGGGUUUCACGCGCAGAUAAUUAAUUCGCUGUACCGUAUCGGAAACGGACAUGUCGGAAAAAUUCAGCAGGUACAAUCCGGCUUUUAUGUUCUCUUCCCGUGGGCGCCAUAAAUUAUUGAGCAUUCUCUCUGUUUAUUAAUCAGCCGGCCAUACUUGCCAUUGGGACAUCAAUAAUAUACGUAUUAUUGCUUAUACAACAGCCGUUGGUCAGUGCUGGACGUGGCGCGAUAUUUUUGCAUACGUAAGCAUGUGCAUUCGGCGGCGCGGAACUAGGAAUAAAUGCGAAAUAUUCGCGCGAGAAUUCUGCUGGUCGUUGUGUCGAAUCGGAAAUCGCGCGCUGAGAAUGGCAGUUUCGCCAGGUCAACGAGCGGAAUACGAUUAUCGUUACACUCUGAAGAUUAUCGUUAUAUAUUACAAAGAAUCCUUCGCAUUCUGCACAAGUCUUCUCUUGCUUCGACAAUGUGUAAUUCCACGAGUUCUCGUACUCAUCCGUAGUUAUAUCGCGUAACCGCGAUUGAGUGAAACGCAGGCUUCGUCGUUUCUGCCUUUUGCAUUAACGAGCCAAGAGCCACCUCGCGAGAAAUAUUUCCUCGUCAACCAUGUACUAAAACAUCCGCGGACUUUUCUGGUCUAACGAGUUCAAGCAGCAAAGGAAUCUGUAACAUUCUCGCUUUCGACGUUGUCGUCGGCGCGCGCUCGUCCGCGUUUCACCGUGGAAAUUCCUCGCUCCCGUGGUGCAUUAGCGAUUCCCUACAGCAGCAGGUUCCGCGAUCGACGGCUGGUUGGAUCAGAUCCACCGGCGUGGAUCGACUGGACUCGACUGGACUCGACUCGACUCGACUCGACUCGACUCGACUCGACUCGACUCAACUCGACCUGACUUGACUUGACUUGGCUUUAGUCAGUUCGGCCUGACUCGCGCGGCGCGGCGCGACACGGCGUUUUAUCCGGAUCUCCGGCCGCGGCCGAUCGGCGAGAUCGUAAAACGACCGGCCGACGGACUCGUUGUCAGUGGUAUUUCCAAUUGGCCGGUUGCGAUCUCUGAAGGGAAACCGGUUCGACGACCAGCCCUGGAUGUGUUACCCCCGGUCUCCUACCUUGCGCUCUCUCCUGCGUCUCUCGUUCGUCUUCUCUUGCUCUCUUCUUCUUUUUCUCGUUUCGCUUCUUCAUCAUCCUCUUCUUCGUCUUCUUCUUGCUCCCUGGCGUCUCGCACUCGCCUUCUUCUUAUCCGUGGUCGAACUCGCGAGCCCACCUCCCGCGCCGACUACUAGUUCCUGGCGUUACUUUUGCAGUGGUACGCGCGGCACGGCUGUAAUUCCUAACCGCGGCCUCGCACGUGCACUUAAAACGCCGUGGUAUCGAGGGGUAUAUCGAGGUUCGGCCCGCGCGAUCGUCCAUGUCGUAGCUGCACGUUCCGCGCGCCAGCCUGGUGGCAUCGUUUGUUUUCCAAAGAACGUGAAGGGAACGUGGUGAAGCCGAUUUAUUCGCGAUCGGUCAGCGGUCUCCCUUCGCGAUUGCGAUGGACGUACCCAGGUGCGCCGGCGAUCGAUGCGUAAACGUUUUGCCGGGGCUAUAGAUCGACACAAAGGAGCAAGAACGCUCGGUGCAGCGAAGACCCGGCGGUGGCGACGACGGCUUCGACGGAGACUUUAAAAUGACCAGGCAACGUCGACCGCUCUGAGACGAAUAAAAAAUAUCGAGACUAGCAGUCAUGUAGAAGAAAGCCGACGUUGGAUCAAGGACUCUUGGUUGAUCCUGGCAAGAGAUUUCCGGGAAAGGUCAACGGCGGAUUCGAAUCGCCGGUCUUUUGGUCUCGGUUGAGACGACAAAAAAACGAGAGAUGAGACUCUAAAGGAGGUUGGAGAGAUAUUAUCUACGAGUCAAACUCAGUGAGUUCCGCGAGUUAAACGAGAACAAGGGAGGAGAACGGUCUUUUCCGGCAAGAUGUUGUGAACGUCUCGCAGGGACGUUGGCGCGCGCGAAUUUCGUGAAUUUUCCUGGACGGUGGAGGAAGAAAAGUUCCUUGUGUUUGGUUACCAAGUUGGACCGAACUCGGAGACUUUUCGGGUCAGCUUGCCCGGAAAAUUGGCAGUGUUAGUUCGUGGGGAUUCUUCGCGGUGCAUCGUCGAGGACUGCGCAAAAUUUUCACGUAUGAGCGAUGUCCACGGACGUCGUAACAUCCGUAGCGAAAGUUCGGCCGUUAGUUCCGCUCCGUUGAACGAUACCGAGGAAUCUUCGCCGGCGGCUGAUUCUUUCGCGCGAUUACGCGAGGCGGAACGACGAGCUUGAAGAUUCCGCGGAGUCGACCGCGCGGACGGUUGCACGCCUUGCUCUCGCAAUUCGUUUACAAUAAUUGUGAAGCGAUCAUGCGUCGCACGAACGAUCGCGGCAGCGUCGUCAAUGGUGCACGUCCAAUCGGCAGCCACGGCUGCAUCAGGUUACGGAUUCCACGCGAUGCUGCGGACGUUGCUCGUACACGUACCGGUCCCGAUGAUCGGGCUUAGCCCGUGGGUCGCCGUCCAAACGAACGAGAACGCUCGUACUUCCGCGAGGAUCGAAUCACGGAUGUCGGCAGCCCGAAAUCGUCAAACGAACCCGAAGAAGAGCAAUCGCAAGAGCGUUACGAAAGAGGAUCCAUAAAAAUCCAAGCACACGCUCUACGAACCUAGUCAAAAAUAAUUGGGUUUCGUGGCACCGUGCGCGUUUUAAACGCACACCUGCACGCGCGUGCGACGUAGCGCAAACGUGCACCAGGACUCAGUGAAUGUGAAAAGUGUCGGGUUCGUUAUAUCGCGCUUGUUCGUAACUCCUCCCUCGUCGGCUUUGUUAUAUCGCGCGCCUGCCCAUUCUCAUUCUCUCAAGCAGCACGCGUACGUACACGCACACACUACACGGAGUGUUGGAUCGCGUGCCUGCGGUCUCGUGCCCUCGUGCGCUUGUCGUUACACGUCCGAUCGUAAGUGUAACAAAACUUCCUAUAUACGCGCGGUAUCGCGCCUCGUCACGGUACAGUAAAGUUGCUGCUGCGGACCGGGCCUCCAAUUCAGAACGAACGAGAUCUAUCCUCUCAUAAGGAAGAGAGAGAGAGAGAGUAUAAUAAAGAGAGAUAAAGAAGAGUGAAAGAGAAGGAAGAGAGCGAGGGAGGAAGAUUGGCACGGGAAGAUAUGCGCGGUGUAAAAUACUCGUUUCGGAUCGGUCCCGACUCUCGGAAGUCGAGGAUUCGUCGGUACGGUAACACUCGCAUUUAGGCACCUGAGACGUUCCGUGCGGCGGAAAGAGACGGGGAAGUGUAGUUAGGGAGGAGAAGGAGGAAGUGGUGGAGCACGGCAAGUCGAGGAGGGUGCGUGCACGGUUCUAAUCAACGAGUCGAUCGAGUUAGAUUGGGGAAUCGAAGUGGUCCCGAAAGGGGACAUCCCCGAUAAAAGCCAUGGGCAUCAUGGAUACGUGGAAGCGCGGUCGGAUAAUCUAUGCUUAUCUCAUAUGGGUCGUCUUCAAGGCUACUACGGCGGGGGGACUUUACGAUGCCAUGAAUUCACUGGUGGAGGAGGUGGUCGUGGAAGCGGGGAAGACCGUCACGCUGAGCUGCCCGGGUGUGACGGAGGACUCGUUGGUGUUGAUGCUCGAGUGGCGAGCGAACGGGAUGCGGUUGCUCGAGUACAAGAGCAGCAGCACGACCGUCGUCCGGCACUUUCGGGACAGAAUGUCGAUGUCGUUGAAAAAUUAUUCGCUGUACCUGAAUCCCGUCAUCGCCGCCGACAGCGGUAUGUACGAGUGCGUCGUGAACAACCGGAACGCACUGGAUGCUGUGAUCAAACUCAUCGUGCGAGAUGUGCCCGAUCCACCAGAACGGCCGCUUGUCAUAAGUUACACGUCCAAAGCCGUGAAUAUAUCGUGGGCACCUGGUGUUAAUUCCCACAACACUCCAAUUUCGCAGUACGUCAUCUACACCCGCAUCGACGAGGAUGGCCCGUGGAACGCGACCAAGGAGAUCAUAACGCCGCACAACGACACGUUCUACACCGUCGAGAACCUGAGGCCAUUCACGGUGUACAGUUUCCGGGUGGCGGCGAUAAAUGCUUUAGGGCGCAGCAAACCCAGUCAGGCUUCCUACUACAUGGUGACUCUUCGUGAAAUUCCGGAGGGAAAACCGACCAUCACUGCGGCCCAUAAUACCUCAGCGUCGUCUAUUUACCUGGCAUGGAAACCGCCGAGUCGUGACACCAUACACGGCGAGUUCCUCGGAUACCGUAUAGGAUACCGACGACGCGAGAAAGCGGAUGAAGAAAUGAAAAACAUUUAUAUACGCGAUCCUGGCGUCGACAAUCACAGUAUCCACAAUUUGGAUACCUUCACGCAGUAUCUCGUCUCCCUGCAAGUGUUCAACCCCGAGGGUCACGGACCGGCUUCUACCGUAACGGUGAUGACCGACGAGGGUUCUCCAACAAAGCCGGAGAAUCUCACCUCACGAGACAUCACGGGCACCACCAUUAAACUCUCGUGGUCGGAACCCGAGAACGCCAACGGUGUCAUCGCCGGUUAUCGCAUUUACUAUAUGUAUUCCAACUACACAGACGUCAAGAUGCAUAUACCCGAUAAAGCUCCCGACGAUCCGAGUAUCGAUUUCGUCCUGAAAGAACUGCGCCCGUACACCGAAUACAAAAUCUGGGUGAAGGCUUACACGCGGAAGAACGAAGGCGAUCCUUCCGACCAAAUUAUUCGCAGGACCGACAUCGUAGGACCAAGCGCUCCUAUCAUCUUGAACUUGACUUGCCAAUCUCAUGAGUCCGUCUACGUGCAUUGGGCCAGGCCGGCCCAUUUCUGGGGCUCGAUCGACUAUUACUAUAUCCGUUAUCGAAAGGAAAAUACAAGAGUUUACGAGGAUAUCGAGCUGCCCACUGAGAAGAAUCAUAUCGAAAGCGGAACGAUUAUACCCAACUUGACGAUGAACACCGUGUACGAGAUUAUGGUGCGGGGAGCCACCAAGAGCACGAUCAACAGCCACCUCAUCAUCCAAGGCGAAUUUUCGAUACCCACAAAGGUUUUGGUGACCCGCGACUGCGACAAGAUACCGCCCUUGAUGCGCCGCAGCAGCAAGGAGCUCAGCGCCGGAGUGAUCGCCGGAAUGGUCUGCGCCUGCUUCGCCGUGAUGCUGGCAAUCACGGCCUUCGUGCUGUGGAAGCCGAUUUUUAGGAAAUGCUUCCACACCGCCUACUAUUAUCUGGAUUAUCCGCCGCGAAACGUUCCCACUUUGCAAGAAUGGGAGAACAGCGAGCAGGAUGGCGAGAGGACCGCCGUGGCGGUCCAGCAAUUCGUCCAGCACGUGGCGAGUCUGCACGCCGACGGAGACAUCGGCUUCAGCAAGGAGUACGAGCUGAUACAGUCCGAAACGGGCGAUUACACCGUGGAGAACUCCCAGUUCGCCGAGAAUAAGGCCAAGAACAGAUACUUGAAUAUACUUGCGUACGACCAUACCCGCGUGCAAUUGCUGUCUUGCGGCGGUGGGCCGCCCAAGAAGGGCCAGGACUACGUUAACGCGAAUUACAUCGAUGGUUGGCAAAGACCGCGUGCCUACAUUGGCACUCAGGGUCCACUUCCGCCGACGUUUGAUGGCUUCUGGCGGAUGGUCUGGGAACAGCGCGUAUCGAUAGUCGUGAUGAUUACCAAUCUGGUCGAACGCGGUCGUAGGAAAUGUGACAUGUACUGGCCCAAGGAGGGUACCGAGACGUACGGUUACAUUCAAGUGACUUUGGUGAGGGAGGACAUCAUGGCGACGUACACCAUUCGCACUCUCCAAAUUCGGCAUUUGAAGCAGAUCAAGAAGAAGAAAAAUGGGACCAACAUGGGCGAGCGCACCAUCUGGCAAUAUCAUUACACCAGCUGGCCCGAUCACGGCGUGCCCGAUCAUCCAUUGCCCGUUCUCAGCUUCAUCCGUAAAUCGUCCAACGCGAAUCCGCCCGACGCCGGACCAAUCGUGGUCCAUUGCAGCGCCGGCGUCGGACGUACUGGCACAUACAUCGUGAUCGACGCUAUGCUGAAACAGGCCAAAGCCAAGAACGAAAUUAACGUGUUCGGUUUUCUCAAGCACAUCCGCACCCAGAGAAACUUCCUGGUGCAGACGGAAGAGCAGUACAUCUUCAUUCAUGACGCCCUGCAAGAAGCGAUCGAGAGCGGUGAGACUAAUAUCGAAAUCAACAACUUAAUGCAGCACGUGCAGGACAUGCUGUGCCCGUCGAACAACAAGACUGACGCGUGGAAUAACAUCGAAGCCCAGUAUAAGUUGGUGACGUCGUGGAAGCCGAAGGAUUUCAAUCUCGUGUCCGCCAACAAAGCCUGCAACAUCCACAAGAAUCGUAACAUGGAUAUCAUCCCCAUCGAAAACGCGCGUGUUCACCUGACGCCGAAACCCGGCGUCGAUGGCAGCGACUACAUCAAUGCGACCUGGGUUUCCGGUUUCCAACGCAAUCGCGAGUUCAUCAUAACGCAGCAUCCGAUGGGGAACACCAUAAUGGAGUUCUGGCAAAUGAUGUGGGACCAUAAUGCGCAGACGAUCGUCAUGCUGACUCAGUGCGACGAGGAAUAUCCGGAAUUUUGGCCCACCGAAGGAAAGGAUCUGGAAUCCGAAACGUUCCGUGUACGUCUUUGCGGGAUGAAGGAAACUGUGAACGGCACUAUCCUGCUCGAAGUGGCGGUCCGGUCGUUGCAGGAUGAUUACGAGCUCAGCGCCAGGAUCGUUCAGGCGCCGUCGAAUCAGAAUGGGCUGUGGCCGCACAACGACAAUCCAAAGACUUUCGUAAACGUCAUCCAGGAUUUCCAUCGGGACUAUCAAAAUGGCCCUAUCGUCGUAAUGGACAGGUAUGGCGGAGUCGAGGCUGCGCUCUUCGUUCUGCUGACUACCUUGAACAAGCAGAUGGAAUUCGAACAGAGUGCCGACAUUUACAUGUUCGCGAAGCUGCUUUACAUGAAGCGACCCGGCGUUUUCUGCUCAAAGGAGAAUUACAUGCUGCUGUACCAGUGCUUGGAAUCCAUGCUGUCGACGAAGGGCCGCGCCGAGCCCGACCUGUACGCCAUGGCAAACGGGCACAUCGCCACGCUUAACGAUCCGAACGAGAUCAGGUCAGCCUCGUCAAUCCAGCAGAUCGAUUAUCCAUCCAAAUCCGCCAUUCGUCCGUCGUCCGUUAUCCGCGAGUACGCCACCGUGGAGGUGAGCUCCGAAUACCUGUCCGACUACACCAUCCCCAUACGCGUGGACCACCCGAUCGAGUCGUCCAGCAGCCGCGGCAGCGAGCCCUGCCUCUCGUCCCACGGUGGUAGCAACGAUCACGUGUCGGAGAAGAGCAUGAUGAUGUCGCAGCGGAACAUCAGCUACCACAAUCCACCGGCGUCCGGCGUGGCCGUGAUGGUCGACGCCAACGGCUACAUCACGAACGGCAGCAUGCGCGUGCCCACCGACAGUAUGGAGCCCAGCUGCAAGAUGAUGCCGCAAUGAUGCCGGCCUAUCUUCGGUUGCAGCGCACCCUCGCGAAGGUCAGCCCCGCUGUAAUCGCACCUUCCGGUCGCUCCGGAGGUUUAAUCUCGACCUGGUAAGUGCUGCAUCCCGCGGGAGUGCUCGCUGCGACACCGCGAUCAAAUGGAACGCCACACUGAGAAAGAGAAUUCUGUUGUUCCACCGUGCAGAGAAAAGAGAGAGAGAGAGAGAGAGAGAAAGAGAGACUGGAUCCUCGCAUCGCGCAAGGAGAUCGUGCAAAACGAUUGGAUGGUUCACGAGAGAGCCGGAGGAUCUCUUCGAGGGCGGGUGUCUUUGGUGUGUACAUAGAGCUGCGUGAACGUCAGGAAGAUGUGCGGCGGGGGAGUCCGGGUAUCGGUACGAUGAGGCGAGACUCCCCCGCUGAGCGGGGAGUUCCCGGAGCGCGCGAGGGCGGACAGUGCCAAACGGAGAGACAGAAGUGCCGCCGAAACGCAUGCCGGGCGUGUGGGUGAUGUUUAUCUUAUCUGUCUCGCACUCUUCGGACUCCUCGAUGUUCGUUACCGCCACAAACGACGACGCCACCAAGAGGAUCGACCGCGUGACUGCAUUUUCCGUCGUUCGUCCAUCGGAACAUCCGUUGGCCGUCGCUGAUGAGAGGAGGCCACGGUCUUAUCCUUUCUGCGUUCGAAACGGGGUCUCCUCCAUCCGCGCGAGAGAGGACGACUCGCCGAAGGCGAAGAGAUCCGCGCGAUCCGAGCUUCAGCCUCCGUCGGAUUCCCGUUUACGCACUCGGAAAUAUGACAAAGACUGCGUUUGUAACUGUAGUAUUCGCGUGGACCAUACGUGGGGAAGAGCACAAACGGUCGCGUUCCGAGUUGGUUUUUAUGUGAUAUACAUAAUAUAUAUAUAAAUAUAAAUAUAUAUAUAUAUAAAUAUAAAUAUACGUGCGUAUGUGCAUAUGUGUAUUUUAUUAAGCGAGAUCGCGCGGCGAAUUAUCGCGGGAGUUGUCGGCGUUCAGAGUCUGUUACUUAGGUAAAAAUAAGAAACCGGCGACACGCGGAAGCGGAAGUGUGCACUAAAGCGGUGGAUGUAUACGUUGAGCGCUUAUAUCGGAAAACCCUUUAAUACGCGAAACCGUGUGAAAAAGAAAAUCGCACCCGAUUGCACGUUCGAUUGUUUCGUAUAUCUAUAAGUUGCCACGAUUUAUAACUUCGUAAUUGUUUGUAACGACUCGUCUCUCGCAGCGCACGUAUAAAGGAGACUCUCAUUCGAACGUACGCAUUUACGGCCUACGGUAUAACUGUAAAAGAAGGAAACGAAACUGUGAAAGAGAAACUGUUUGUACGUAUGUUUAAACGAUAAUGUGCUAACGAUCCACGAUCGACACGUAGGCUCAUCGAGAUCGACCGUAACUGUACGAAGGAGCGUGUCGAAUGGUAGAAAAUUAGGCAGAGUCCUGAGGGAUAACGGGUAUCACGAAUCCGCGCCACACUCAAUUAAUAUCCGAUGAAUACGAUGAGACAGACACGCGAAGCCGAUGCGUAAAACAACGGAGCCGAGACUGCCAAACGAGCACCUCUAUGAACAUUCCUUCCUUUCUCUCAUCUUUUUCCGUAACUCUUUCGCUACGAUAUUUCAGCGAUGGGAUGACACUGGCGCGGUGCACAAUAAAUGUAGUUUCCGAUGUGUAAUUUCAUUUGUUCUGUAAUUCAUUUGUCGGUCUCUGCAUUAAAAACUCAGAAAUGAAAGAAUCAAGAAGUCCCAUAUGUUCAAAUUAGAGGUAAAUGUAAAACUAUUAAGUGAAAACGAGAGCAAAGUCAGGUGCCCGCAAUUAUUUAGUUCGUAUUAAAAAUGCAAAGAGAGCCACGCCGAUGCAAUUACUCUGGAAAAAGUGCACAGAAAUAACGUGGAACAGAAUAUAUCAGCAGUGAACGGAUGUGACUAUAGCUAAUGGAUCAUAAUUGAUAUCAGUAGCGAAAGAGUUCGUGUUUGAGCAUAGCGACCGCACUGCCUUUAAUAGAAUUUUUGACAAAUCGAUUCUGACCAUCGCGAGAUCGAGGAUGAAAAGAAAAUGACUCGCGUCGAGGGGACGAGCCGCGGGAUGCGAUGCAUUGUCAAAAGCAUUGCAAACCGCAAACGAGAAAUCGCGAGUCUGUUUCUCCAUUCCUAGCACACGUCACGCGAAUCGCUCCCAUCGGCGCGUCUCCCAUCAUUAAUUUAUAAAUCAUUAAGCGAUAACGCGCCAGUGAGUCGCGCGGAACACGAAACGCCGGUCUAAUGCGGUUCUCAUCAAUUUUUAUCGCUCGACAAGCAGCACGUGUCUCAACGAAAAAGAAAAGAAAAACAUAAAUGCAAAAGAAAAGGCAAAGGAAAACGCAAAGAAAAAAACCUUUAGAGAUUAAACGGAUAUAAUGAUUGCGGUAUCAGUCAUUAUGUGCGAUAGUAUUACUCGUUUUUUUAACUCUGUACGCUUCGUUCGAGAGAAACUGUCCGUGCUUAAGAACAUAUACGUCUAAUAAAUAGUUUGCGAGAAAUUUCCAACUGGUCAAAUCAGCCAAGUCUCACUCACCAGCGAGUCCCAUUUGGAUUUGUAAACGCUCCGGAUCCACGAUCGCAGUCACUCCUUAGGAAAGACAUGCGACGUAAUGUAACUCGACGACCAAUUAACGUUAAGCUAACAAAUGUGUCCGCCAGACGACUCAAUUUACCGCGGUGCACUUAUUGUUAAUUAUGCUAUUGUCCUCAUUCAAGAGAGAACUCCUCGUAAUAGUUUUAUCCGACUGUGCAGAAUUGCUACCUUUCAGAUCGAAGCAAAUCGUCAUUAGCAGCGUAUAUUUAGCAGAUGUUUGUGAUCUCGAUUUGUGAUUAAUUGAACGUGAUUAAGAUUAAGAUUAUUAAUGCAUUGAAAUACUCACGUCGAUAACAUUUCGACUUUUGCACAGAAGAUGUAACAAUAUCUCUAAAACUUGCAGUUAUAAUCGUAAAUUAAUUAAUUAUGAAAUAGUCAUAAAUCUUUUCAACGAUGAUGGCGCGAGUACUAUUAUUAUGACUAAACACACAAGAAAGAUGUGUUUUUUUUUUAUUUUCAAAAAUCUUAAUCUGAAUUAUAGAAGUAGUAUCCCUCUCCCGAAAUGACAAUUGUUGUGAUCAAUGGACACAAUUAUACGUAAUAAUAUACUUCUUA